AAUCCAUAGGUUAAUGAGGCGAACCGGGGGAACUGAAACAUCUAAGUACCCCGAGGAAAAGAAAUCAACCGAGAUUCCCCCAGUAGCGGCGAGCGAACGGGGAGGAGCCCAGAGCCUGAAUCAGCAUGUGUGUUAGUGGAAGCGUCUGGAAAGGCGCGCGAUACAGGGUGACAGCCCCGUACACAAAAGCGCAUGUGCUGUGAGCUCGAUGAGUAGGGCGGGACACGUGGUAUCCUGUCUGAAUAUGGGGGGACCAUCCUCCAAGGCUAAAUACUCCUGACUGACCGAUAGUGAACCAGUACCGUGAGGGAAAGGCGAAAAGAACCCCGGCGAGGGGAGUGAAAAAGAACCUGAAACCGUGUACGUACAAGCAGUGGGAGCACCCUUUGGGUGUGACUGCGUACCUUUUGUAUAAUGGGUCAGCGACUUAUAUUCUGUAGCAAGGUUAACCGAAUAGGGGAGCCGGAGGGAAACCGAGUCUUAACCGGGCGUUAAGUUGCAGGGUAUAGACCCGAAACCCGGUGAUCUAGCCAUGGGCAGGUUGAAGGUUGGGUAACACUAACUGGAGGACCGAACCGACUAAUGUUGAAAAAUUAGCGGAUGACCUGUGGCUGGGGGUGAAAGGCCAAUCAAACCGGGAGAUAGCUGGUUCUCCCCGAAAGCUAUUUAGGUAGCGCCUCGUGAAUUCAUCUCCGGGGGUAGAGCACUGUUUCGGCUAGGGGGCCAUCCCGGCUUACCAACCCGAUGCAAACUGCGAAUACCGGAGAAUGUUAUCACGGGAGACACACGGCGGGUGCUAACGUCCGUCGUGAAGAGGGAAACAACCCAGACCGCCAGCUAAGGUCCCAAAGUCAUGGUUAAGUGGGAAACGAUGUGGGAAGGCCCAGACAGCCAGGAUGUUGGCUUAGAAGCAGCCAUCAUUUAAAGAAAGCGUAAUAGCUCACUGGUCGAGUCGGCCUGCGCGGAAGAUGUAACGGGGCUAAACCAUG
rnacentral:rRNA from 4 species